GACGAACGCUGGCGGCGUGCUUAACACAUGCAAGUCGAACGGAAAGGCCCUGCCUUUGUGGGGUCCUCGACUGGCGAACGGGUGAGUAACACUUGAGUAACCUGUCCCUGACUUUGGGAUAACUUCAGGAAACUUGGGCUAAUACCGGAUAGGAGCUCCUGCUUCAGGGUGGGGGUUGGUUAGUUUCGGCGGUUGGGGAUGGACUCGCGGCUUAUCAGCUUGUUGGUGUGGUAGUGGCUUACGAAGGCUUUGACGGGUAGCCGGCAUGAGAGGGUGACCGGCGACAUUGGAACUGAGAUACGGAACAGACUCCUACGGGAGGCAGAGGUGGGGGAUAUUGCACUAUGGGCGGAGGCCUGAUGCAGCAACGCCGAGUGCGGGAUGACGGCCAUCGGGUUGUAAACCGCAUUCGCCUGUAACGAAGCGUGAGUGACGGUAAUGGGUAAAAAAGCACCGGCUAACUACGUG
rnacentral:rRNA from 1 species